AGCUUCCGGCGGGCUUCUAUUCGUUCUCGGCGGAGGCGGGCGCCGGGUUCUGGCAUUAGGGUCUGAUGCGGGUCUGGAGUUGGUGACUGAACUUUUUUGAGUAUUCUGAGGAUAUCAGCAGUACCUUAUUAAGCUCGGAUACACCACACUUGUGCUUAUUAAUUUUAAGGAAUCAUUAAAAUAAUCCAAAGCUCUGUCUCCUAGAAUGUUUACUUGUUGAAUAAAUGUAACAUGUUAUUCCAAUCCAGAUCAUGAAUGAUGAACGUAUCACAAUAUAAGAACAGUGUAGAAUUAUAUUCACAAUAUAAGAACAGUGUAGUUUUAUUA